rnacentral:rRNA from 1 species
GAUGAACGCUGGCGGCGUGCCUAAUACAUGCAAGUCGAGCGAACAGACGCGGAGCUUGCUCCUCUGACGUUAGCGGCGGACGGGUGAGUCACACGUGGAUAACCUACCUAUCAGACUGGGAUCACUUCGGGAAACCGGAGCUAAUCCCGGAUAAUAUCUUGAACCGCAUGGUUCAAUAGUGAAAGACGGCUUUGCUGUCACUUAUAGAUGGAUCCGCGCCGCAUUAGCUAGUUGGUAAGGUAACGGCUUACCAAGGCAACGAUGCGUAGCCGACCUGAGAGGGUGAUCGGCCACACUGGAACUGAGACACGGUCCAGACGCCUACGGGAGGCAGCAGUAGGGAAUCUUCCGCAGUGGGCGAAAGCCUGACGGAGCAACGCCGCGUGAGUGAUGAAGGUCUUCGGAUCGUAAAACUCUGUUAUGAGGGAAGAACAAAUGUGUAAGUAACUAUGCACGUCGUGACGGUACCUAAUCAGAAAGCCACGGCUAACUACGUG